rnacentral:rRNA from 1 species
GACGAACGCUGGCGGCGUGCCUAACACAUGCAAGUCGAGCGGAGUCGAUCGACGGAAGCCUUCGGGCGGAAGAUGGUUGACUUAGCGGCGGAUGGGUGAGUAACGCGUGGGCAACCUGCCUCGAAGACCGGGAUAACAGCCCGAAAGGGCUGCUAAUACCGGAUGUGGUCAAGGAUCCGCAUGGAUUUUGAUUAAGGGAAACCCGUUUCGAGAAUGGGCCCGCGUCCUAUCAGCUAGUUGGUGAGGUAAAAGCUCACCAAGGCGACGACGGGUAGCCGGCCUGAGAGGGUGACCGGCCACACUGGAACUGAGACACGGUCCAGACUCCUACGGGGGGCAGCAGUGGGGAAUCUUCCACAAUGGGCGAAAGCCUGAUGGAGCGACGCCGCGUGAGCGAAGAAGGCCUUCGGGUUGUAAAGCUCUGUCUGGAGGGACGAAGGAAGUGACGGUACCUCCGGAGGAAGCCACGGCUAACUACGUG